AACGAACGCUGGCGGCGUGCCUAACACAUGCAAGUCGAACGGGAUUAGGGGCUUGCUCCUAAUCUAGUGGCGCACGGGUGAGUAACGCGUAGAUAAUCUGCCUGAUGAUCCGGGAUAACACUUCGAAAGAGGUGCUAAUACCGGAUAAGCCCACGGGUUCUUUGGAAUCUGCGGGAAAAGGGGGGGACCUUCGGGCCUUCUGUCAUCAGAUGAGUCUGCGUACCAUUAGCUAGUUGGUAGGGUAAAGGCCUACCAAGGCGACGAUGGUUAGCUGGUCUGGGAGGAUGAUCAGCCGCACUGGAACUGAGAAACGGUCCAGACUCCUACGGGAGGCAGCAGUGGGGAAUUUUGCGCAAUGGGGGAAACCCUGACGCAGCAACGCCGCGUGAGUGAUGAAGGCUCUUGGGUCGUAAAGCUCUGACAGAGGGAAAGAAGUGUAUGGUGGUUAAUACCCGUUGUACUUGACGGUACCCUCAAAGGAAGCACCGGCUAACUCCGUGCCAGCCGCCGCCGUAAUAC
rnacentral:rRNA from 1 species